GUUGGCCAGGGAACAGGCUCAGAGCAAGAAAUUUGUGUGUGGAAGAUUUACUGGAUACUGCUCUUAGGAAAAGCAUCUGUGAAAGGAAGAGAGGAGAGGAGGAUUGGACAGCAGACCUGAGGUGAUCCUUCAAAAUUGUCUAGAAUUGAGGAGCUCGCUGAAGGAAGUUAUAAAAUCCAUGACUUAAUAAUGGAGAUACUAUUUUUCUUGAACGUAAACAAUCUUCAUGUUUGCCACUUGCAAUGGACUGAAUUAUGUCUCUCCCAAAUUGAUGUAUUGAAGCUCUAACUCUCAAAGUGAUUCUAUCUAAGGAUAGGAUAUUUAAAAGCGAGAACACAGUGAGUGAGAAGGUGGCCAUCUGCAAACAAGGGAAAGAGCUCUCAUCAGACCUCAACACACCGGCAUUCUGAUUUCGGACUUCCAGCCACCCAAACCAUGAGAAAAUAAAUUUCUGUUAUUUAAG
rnacentral:lncRNA from 1 species